GGCCCCAAUAGUGUUUCACAAUAAUACAAUCAUUUAUUACGGCCGACCACAUUAUAAUGAAAUAGCAUAUUCGUAAUAUUGCACUUUUAAUUACUGUCGGGUAUCGAUAAAAAAAAAAAAACGAAAUCAACAGCACUUGUUAUAAUAAUGAGUCGAACAGAUUAUUUCUGUGUUCAGUAAUCUAGUGUAUGUAUUAUUUUAAUGCAAUACGCAGCGGCACACAUAAUUUGGUAAUAAUAUCUAGUGACAAGUGCGAAUAUAAAUUUGUUUUAUUUAUUUUUUUUUUUUUUUUUUUCUAUCGAUACCCGAAUAUUAAUAAGUUGACAAAUUGUUUUUUUCCGAAAUUAAUAAUGUACACGUUUUACGAAGGAUAUCGUUUUUUCGGAAAUGUUUAGUUUUUGUUUUUUAUAACCGGUCAGGACAUCAAAAAGCAAUCUCGCAUACCCCGAUCAGUACGUAUAAUAUAAUAUUAUUAAUUUUUCAAUAGACGGGACUCAAAUUUUUUUUUUUUGUUUUUUUUUUUUAACAGUAAAAAUCAGUCUAAAUAAAAAACAACUAAAAUAAUAAUAUUUUCCGAGCAAAAGUCAAAUUUAAUAAUUACGUCGAGUACUGACAAGAUAUGAGGAGGGGGUAAACAAACACACAACUUCGCAUAGUAUACAGUGUUAGUUAUCACGGUGUCCGAUAAGAGUUAUUUACAAGUGUGUGAACUGGUAGCGGCAGUUUUGAAAUGUAAGACAUACAGCUAAUAGAGCAGGUAUUAAAAAUUUAAAAUUUACGCUAAAAAUAUCAUGUACUUUGUGUAACCGUUUCCUGCGGGAACUGUGCACUUAUCAUAUUGUUAAAUUUUAGUUUUAUAGUCAGCUAUUCGUGUACGUCAAGGCCAGUGGCGUAGCCUGAGGAAGGCACGGUGGCCGUGGCCAUUGAACAUAUUUUUUAGCGUUUCUAUUACAAUUGUGAAUAAUAUUUAUAUUACCUACUUUAUGGUUUGUGUAGUUUAUUUUCAUAUUUCGUCGACAAAAUAAGAACUGUGUUUUUAAAUGCAAAUAAGGAAGUUAACGGUAACAGAAAAAAAAAGGGCAACUUUGGAAUUUUCUUUUUUGUUCGGCCCUCUCCUUUAUCAGGAUAAAUCCUGAUUAUGCCUAAGAUAAACUCAGCGGUGCCUCGUCAGAUGAUUGGCAAGUGACGAGAAGCUUCAUUCAUAAAAUUGACUAACUACAACAAAUACAUUCAAUUUAUUAUGAACGCCAUAUUUUUAUUGAUUUCGUUAAAUACAUGUAUUAAAUCAAAAUAUGUUUUUUUUUUUUUUUGACAUUUUCAAAUUUCGAUGACUAAAGCCUAAAAUUAACAAACACCUAAUAACUAACGAUAACAGCACCUCGUGUUCUAUUUCUAAUAUAUUUGUCUCUCCGUGUUUUCAAAUGAAUUUUCAAAAUAUUCGCCUCACCACUUACACACAGGUCACGAGCGUCCACUAGUUUGGCCUAUAUUAUGAAGUCUGAGACCAGUAAAUUUUCUCGAUUCUAUUAAAUAUGUAUUGUCACUGUGGUUUCGCGUUUAGUUUACGAUCUACGUAACAUUUGAACCGUUGUGAAUAUUUCAUAUUUACGCCUUUAUAGAGGACGUCACACCGGCAUCUCCUGCCUCCGUCUUAUAAACGCAAGACAUAGCGAAUUUGCGCUCAAUAGGACAAAUAUGUCGUUUCGUUAGUUUUAAUAUUAAAGCGAAUUGGCCUAUUAUCAAACUUGAAGUUAAGAAUAUUGUACAAUGUGCCCUGGCGUUGAUGUUUUUUCGAUAUUUUAAUUUUUAAGCAAGACGUAAUCGUUUUUUAAUUCGGCUGUUUUCCAUACGCAUAUCUCAUUUAAAAAUUAAAACAUCGACACUAGAGCACAAAUAUAAUUAUGUACUUAAAGUUUGUUAACAGUUCGAUUCGCUUUAAUAUUAAAACUAACGGCAAGACAACAUAUUUUUUCCUACUGAACGAAAAUUUGCCAAAUGUCGCGCAUUUGCGAGACGGAGACACGGGAU
rnacentral:lncRNA from 1 species